rnacentral:rRNA from 1 species
GAUGAACGCUGGCGGCGUGCUUAACACAUGCAAGUCGAACGGGAAACCUUUUAAUGAAGCUUCGGCAGAUUUAGCUGGUUUCUAGUGGCGGACGGGUGAGUAACGCGUGGGUAACCUGCCCUAUACAGGGGGAUAACAACCAGAAAUGGUUGCUAAUACCGCAUAAGCGCACGGGACCGCAUGGUCCAGUGUGAAAAACUCCGGUGGUAUAGGAUGGACCCGCGUUGGAUUAGCUGGUUGGUGGGGUAACGGCCCACCAAGGCGACGAUCCAUAGCCGGCCUGAGAGGGUGAACGGCCACAUUGGGACUGAGACACGGCCCAAACUCCUACGGGAGGCAGCAGUGGGGAAUAUUGCACAAUGGGGGAAACCCUGAUGCAGCGACGCCGCGUGAGUGAUGAAGUAUUUCGGUAUGUAAAACUCUAUCAGCAGGGAAGAUAAUGACGGUACCUGACUAAGAAGCACCGGCUAAAUACGUGCCAGCAGCCGCGGU